rnacentral:rRNA from 1 species
GAUCAUGGCUCAGGAUGAACGCUAGCGGCAGGCUUAACACAUGCAAGUCGAGGGGCAGCAUAAACAUUGCUUGCAAUGUUUGAUGGCGACCGGCGCACGGGUGCGUAACGCGUAUGUAACCUACCUCAAACAGGGGCAUAACACUGAGAAAUUGGUACUAAUUCCCCAUAACACUUUGGGAGGCAUCUCCUUUGUUUGAAACGUAAGGAUUAUGGGUGAGCACGCUUCUGAUUAGGUAGUUGGUGAGGUAACGGCUCACCAAGCCGACGAUCAGUAGGGGUUCUGAGAGGAAGGUCCCCCACAUUGGAACUGAGACACGGUCCAAACUCCUACGGGAGGCAGCAGUGAGGAAUAUUGGUCAAUGGACGAAAGUCUGAACCAGCCAAGUCGCGUGAAGGAUGAAGGUUCUAUGGAUUGUAAACUUCUUUUGUCUGAGGGUAAAAAAGCGGACGUGUCCGUUCUUGCAAGUAUCAGACGAAUAAGCAUCGGCUAACUCCGUG